rnacentral:ncRNA from 1 species
UAUAUGUUUGCAUGUUCACGGGAGGUUCGAAAAGUUUUAUUUUAGCUUAUAAAUUAAGUAUAAUUUUUUAUUAUAUGAAAAUUUUUGUACGAAAAAAAAUUAAAUUUUAAAAAUUUAAUUUUCUAAAAAUUCUCAUUAAUAAAUUUUAUGGUAUCAAGUAAUUUUGGACAUAGAGAUAAUUUUUAAUAUUGACUAAAUUUGUGCCAGCAGUUGCGGUUAGACAAAUAAUAUAAUUUAAUUUUUUUGGUUUCAAUAAAUUUGUGUUAGAAAUUUUUUAAGAAUUUUUAUUAAGUGGAAUUUUAAAAAUUUUUGAGAUUUUAAUUUGUUAAUGAAUUUGGUAAAUUUUGAUAAUAAACUAGGAUUAGAUACCCUGUUAUUCAAAGCGUAUAUUAUAGACUAAAUUAGUAUUAGUUAUAUUCUUGAAAAUUAAAAAAUUUGGCGGUAUUUUAGUCUAUUCAGAGGAACUUGUCCUGUAAUUGAUAAUCCACGAUUUAAUAUACUUUUUUUUUAAAUUUAUAUAUCGUCGUAAUUUGAAAAUUUUAGAAAAAUUAUAAAUUUUCAAGAUUUAUUAUUAUAAAUAAAAUCAGAUCAAGAUGUAGUUAAUAAAAAAGUAGAGAUGAGUUACAUUUAUAUAAAUAGAAGAUAGUUAUUAGUAUAAUAAUUUGAAUUUGGAUUUGAAAGUAAUUUUAAUUAAUUAAUUAAAAUGAUUUAAGCUCUAAAAUAUGUACACAUCGCCCGUCACCUCUUUAAAAUGAAAUAAGUCGUAACAAAGUAAACUUAUUGGAAAAUGAGUUUAGAAAUAGU